AUGACAUCUCAGAAUGACUCCCUGAAGAGCCCUGUUCCCUUUCAUCAGCACACAGCGAUAAACUCCAUCUGCCCUGCCCCUGCCAUGGCUAUCUGCCACCUGAGCUGUGUGGCCUUUUGUCUCCUGCAGGCAGGUCUGGUGAACGCUGUCAUCACUCAGACCCCCAAAUUUCAGAUCUGGAAAACAGGACAGAAAGGGACAUUGAGAUGUUCCCAAGAUAUGAGCCACAACUACAUGUGCUGGUAUCAACAAGACCUGGGCCAUGGGAUGAGACUGAUCCAUUACUCAGUCGGUGCUGGGGUCACUGAAAAAGGAGAUGUCCCCGAAGGGUACAGUGUCACUAGAUCAAAAACAGAGAACUUCCCCCUCACCCUGGAGUCAGCGACUCCCUCCCAGACAUCUGUGUACUUCUGUGCCAGCAGUGUAUCCACAGCGCUGCACAGCUGCCUCCGCUCUGCACAAAAAGGCAGGAAGAGGCCCUUCACCCUGGACUUAGGGGAGCCCUAUGCAAACUCCACACCGUGGAGCCCCCCGGUGGCCCAAGCCAGCAGGUUGAACCUCUGUGUGUGGUGA